rnacentral:rRNA from 1 species
CCUACGGGUGGCAGCAGUGAGGAAUAUUGGUCAAUGGCCGGAAGGCUGAACCAGCCAUGCCGCGUGAAGGGCAGGGACCUAGGGGCGUUAAACUUCUUUUGUGCGGGAGCAAGAAUGGUCACGUGUGGCCAGACGAGAGUACCGUACGAAUAAGCAGCGGCUAACUCCGUGCCAGCAGCCGCGGUAAGACGGGGGAUGCAAGCGUUCUCCGGAGUUAGUGGGUUUCAAGGUUGCGUAGGCUGUGAGGUAAGUCAGCGGUGAAAUGCCCCCGCUCCACGGGGUGAAGUGCCAUUGAUACUGCCUUGCUGGAUUGCGGAUGCCGUUGGUGGAAUGUGUGGUGUAGCGGUG